GGGGAAUUUUCCGCAAUGGGCGAACAGCCUGACNGAGCAAGACCGCGGGGGGGAGGAAGGUUCUUGUGAUUGUCAACCCCUUCUCUCAGGGAAGAAGAAAGUGACGGUACCUGAGGAAGAAGCAUCGGCUAACUCCGUGCCAGCAGCCGCGGUAAUACGGGGGAUGCAAGCGUUAUCCGGAAUGAUUGGGCGUAAAGAGUCCGUAGGUGGCUCAUCAAGUCUGCUGUUAAAGAGCNNUNCUUAACUUCGUAAAAGCAGUGGAAACUGAAGAGCUAGAGUAUAGUAGGGGCAGAGGGAAUUCCUGGUGUAGCGGUGAAAUGCGUAGAGAUCAGGAAGAACACCGGUGGCGAAAGCGCUCUGCUGGGCUAAAACUGACACUGAGGGACGAAAGCUAGGGGAGCGAAUGGGAUUAGAUACCCCAUAGUC
rnacentral:rRNA from 1 species